GAUGAAGAACGCAGCGAAAUGCGAUAAGUAAUGUGAAUUGCAGAAUUCAGUGAAUCAUCGAAUCUUUGAACGCACAUUGCGCCCCUCGGUAUUCCGAGGGGCAUGCCUGUUCGAGCGUCAUUAUAACCCUUCAAGCUCAGCUUGGUGUUGGGGCCUGCUGUAACUGGUAGCCCUUAAAAUCAGUGGCAGUGCUAUUAGGCUCUAAGCGUAGUAAUUCUUCUCGCUAUAGUGUGUAGUGAGCGCUUGCCAGAACCCCAAACUUUUAUCUGAUUGACUUCGGAUCAGGUAGGGAUACCCGCUGAACUUAAGCAUAUCAAUAAGCGGAGGA
rnacentral:misc_RNA from 1 species